GUCUACGGCCAUACCACCCUGAAUGCGCCUGAUCUCAGAAGCUAAGCAGGGUCGGGCCUGGUUAGUACUUGGAUGGGAGACCGCCUGGGAAUACCAGGUGCUGUAGUCU
rnacentral:rRNA from 1 species